GACGAACGCUGGCGGCGUGCUUAACACAUGCAAGUCGAACGGUACGUCCCUUCGGGGUACACGAGUUACGAACGGGUGAGUCACACGUGGGUGAUCUGCCCCGCACUUCGGGAUAGGCCUGGGAAACUGGGUCUAAUACCGGAUAAGACCACUGCCGGCAUGGGUGGUGGUGGAAAGCUUUUGCGGUGUGGGAUGGGCCCGCGGGCUAUGAGCUGGUUGGGGGGGUGAUGGCCUACCAAGGCGACGACGGGUAGCCGGCCUGAGAGGGUGACCGGCCACACUGGGACUGAGAUACGGCCCAGACUCCUACGGGAGGCAGCAGUGGGGAAUAUUGCACAAUGGGCGCAAGCCUGAUGAAGCGACGCCGCGUGAGGGAUGACGGCCUUCGGGUUGUAAACCUCUUUCAGCACCGACGAAGCGCAAGUGACGGUAGGUGCAGAAGAAGGACCGGCCAACUACGUGCCAGCCGCCGCAGUAAUAC
rnacentral:rRNA from 1 species